CCUCCUGCCUCGGCCUCCCUGAGUGCUGGGAUGCCAGGCAUGAGCCACCGUGCCUGGCUCCGCCCCUCCUUUCACAAGGAUAGAGCACCCUCUUGUGGUGAAGGGAGGAAGAGGGUUGAGUGUGCUCUGGGCCUGGCGGAAGGUUUCUAGGGUGCAGCAGGGCCUCCUCCUCGGCCUGAUGGGGGUGGGGCCUGCCAGGGAGUGCCUUGCUGGGAAGGGAGGGCAAAGGGCCAUGUCUUUCGCUUGCCCCACCCAACUGCCAAGAGUCCCAGUCACCAGGCCACCCUGAGUCCCGGCCCUUGAGGGUAAGUGUUCUUCUGAACACAGCUGCCUCGUCCUUCCCCGAUGACUAGGUCCACGAGACUGGGGCAGAAACAGGGGCAGGUACACAGCACCUCAGCCCCCUUCCCACCUGACAGCAGCAUCAAAGCCGAGGCCAAGGCGGGAGGGCCCAGAGUGGGACACCUCUUCCAGACAAGCCUUGGUCGCCGCCUCCUCCUCUGUCACCCUGCGACACAGCCCAGAGUACCAGGUGGCUGGAGCACUGGGGGACACCAGGACAGAACCUUCCCUGGACCAAGUCCUCCAGGAGCGGGAUGAAGCCAUUGCCAAGAAGCAGGCAGUGGAGGCAGAGCUGCAGAGGUGCGAAGCCAGGCUACGCACCAUGGAGGCCCAGCUGCUGGAGGUCCUGGAGGAGAAACUGAGGCUGAGGCGGGAGCUGGAGGCCUGGGAGGAGGACGUGCAGCAGCUGGUAUGGCAGCAGGUCCAGCAUCAGCUGCAGAGAGAGACUGAGGGUACUCGGGGACACCACAUGGACCCUGGAGCUGCCAGGACCCCCCGGUCCAGAUUCUUCCUGGGUCGGGGACGUUGGUGGUGACACAGACCUCAGCCCAGGACUUGGAGAGUAAUGUCUUUAUUCAUUAAAGCCUGAGGUCUGACCACUCCUGUAAAACCUCGUGCCCA